rnacentral:tRNA from 1 species
GACGCGGUGGCCUAAUGGUUAGCGCGUUGGACUCUGGAUCAAGCCGUCUGGGUUCGAGCCCUGGUCUGGGUCA